rnacentral:sRNA from 1 species
GCUGGGCGUGGUGGAGCCCGCCUGCAAUCCCAGCGGCUCAGGAGGCUGAGGCAGGGAGAUGGCUUGAGCCCAGGAGUUCAAAGGCCAGCCUGUGCAACACAGUGAGACCCUGCUUCUU